rnacentral:lncRNA from 1 species
CAAGAAAAGAUGAUCAAGCUAUCCUUUAUAGGAUAUAAGGAAAGGACCACUGAGAUACUUAGCAUAAUGCAUACUUGUGUGUAGCAUAUUUGAUAUAGUAGCUAGAGGAGGUUAUCUCUACUUAACUAUCCUUAUUAUUGAUUAUCCAUGGCUUAGGUAUAUGCAUGAGAUACACAUAUCUGAAGCCUUUGAAGUGUUCAAAAAAUUCAGAUAUGAAGUAGAGAAGUAAAUCAAAAAAAAUUUAAAGAUAUUUCAAUCAGAUUAAAGAGAUUAAUACCUAAAAAAUUUUUAGAUUAUCUCAAGAAAAAAUAUCAUAGUCUCAUAAUGGACUCCAUCUAGAUUGCUUCAACUCAACGAAAUUUCAAAAUGAAGAAGUUAGACCCUAUCGGAUAUUGCUCGAUCCAUAAUGAGCUUCACUGAUUUUCGUUAUUUAGGGGAUAUGCUUAGCUUACAACUAAUUAAAUAGUGAAUUGGGUUCUCUCUAAAUAUAUUCUUACCAUACUAUAUGAGAUAUAAUAUGAUAAGAAACUAAGUCUUGAUCAUCGUGAGAUCCGAAGAUAUCUGACCUAUGUCAAGCAACACU